UACGUAGGGUGCAAGCGUUAAUCGGAAUUACUGGGCGUAAAGCGUGCGCAGGCGGCUUUGCAAGACAGAUGUGAAAUCCCCGGGCUUAACCUGGGAACUGCAUUUGUGACUGGCAUGGCUCGAGUGCGGCAGAGGGGGAUGGAAUUCCGCGUGUAGCAGUGAAAUGCGUAGAUAUGUGGAGGAACACCGAUGGCGAAGGCAAUCCCCUGGGCCUGCACUGACGCUCAUGCACGAAAGCGUGGGGAGCAAACAGG
rnacentral:rRNA from 1 species